rnacentral:rRNA from 1 species
AAACCAGCACCUCAAGUGGUCAGGAUGAUUAUUGGGCCUAAAGCAUCCGUAGCCUGCUUUGUAAGUUCUCGGUUAAAUCCAUAUGCUCAACAUAUGGGCUGCCGGGAAUACUGCACAGCUAGGGAGUGGGAGAGGUAGACGGUACUCGGUAGGAAGGGGUAAAAUGCUUUGAUCUCUCGAUGACCACCUGUGGCGAAGGCGGUCUACCAGAACACGUCCGACGGUGAGGGAUGAAAGCUGGGGGAGCAAACCGGAUUAGAAACCCCUGUAGUCC